rnacentral:rRNA from 1 species
ACGUUGAUAGGCUGGGUGUGUAAGUGCAGCGAUGCAUUGAGCUAACCAGUACUAAUGAUCCGUGAGGCUUAACCUUACAACACCGAAGGUGUUU